UUAAGUGACGAUAGCCUAGGAGAUACACCUGUACCCAUGCCGAACACAGAAGUUAAGCCCUAGAACGCCGGAAGUAGUUGGGGGUUGCCCCCUGUGAGAUA
rnacentral:rRNA from 1 species